GAUGAACGCUGGCGGCGUGCUUAACACAUGCAAGUCGAACGGUGAACGAGGGAGCUUGCUCCCUCCGGAUCAGUGGCGAACGGGUGAGUAACACGUGAGCAAUCUGCCCUGGACUCUGGGAUAAGCGUUGGAAACGACGUCUAAUACCGGAUACGAGACGUGGGGGCAUCCCCAACGCCUGGAAAGAAUUUCGGUCCAGGAUGAGCUCGCGGCCUAUCAGGUAGUUGGUGAGGUAAUGGCUCACCAAGCCUACGACGGGUAGCCGGCCUGAGAGGGUGACCGGCCACACUGGGACUGGGACACGGCCCAGACUCCUACGGGAGGCAGCAGUGGGGAAUAUUGCACAAUGGGCGCAAGCCUGAUGCAGCAACGCCGCGUGAGGGACGACGGCCUUCGGGUUGUAAACCUCUUUUAGUAGGGAAGAAGCGAAAGUGAAGGUACCUGCAGAAAAAGCACCGGCUAACUACGUGCCAGCCGCCGCCGUAAAAC
rnacentral:rRNA from 1 species